rfam:Ciona savignyi cont_51654, whole genome shotgun sequence.
AGCGCGGACCGGCUGCCCACGUCCUUCUGAUCGAGGCUUCAUCCCAUAGCGGGUGUCAGGCCCUUGGCGGCGGCUGGCCCGGGCUCUCGGUGUCUUCCCGGAGUCGGGUUGUUUGGGAAUGCAGCCCAAAGCGGGUGGUAAACUCCAUUUACGGCUAAAUACGGUCACGAGACCGAUAGCGAACAAGUACCGUGAGGGAAAGUUGAAAAGCACUUUGGAGAGAGAGUUAAAAAGUACGUGAAACCGUCGAGAGGCAAACGGGAGGGCCUGUCGGGUCGUUCGGUCGCUUUCAGGCGGGCCGGAGACCGGGUCGCGGGAUCGGGGACCUUCGCGGGCCUCGACUCGCGUCGCCGGCCGACGGCUCGGCGCACUAGCGUCGGACGAGGGCCGCGACCGGCUGGGCGGCGGGCAAACGGCUCCGGGCAAGGUAACCCCGCUUCGGCGGGGUGCUACAGGCCCGGUGCGCGCAAGGGUCGCCGCCCGGUCGAGGAGAGAUGCGCGCCGCACCUGCCCCGUUCGCGGGGCCGGGGAAGCCGUUCGAGCAGCGUCGUGUCGCGGUCCGGGACUGUCCUCAGUCCCGGGUCGUCUCGGCGCGGUUCCGAGCGGUCGCUCCCUCGCGAGGUGCCGCGGGUCAGCGGCUGACGCCAGCCACCUUCCCGACCCGUCUUGAAACACGGACCAAGGAGUCUAACAUGUGCGCGAGCCGCGGGGCAGUACGAAACCCGUAAGGCGAAAUGAAGGUGACCGCCGGCGCGGUCCGGCGGAGGUUGGAUCCCGUCCCGUCGGGGCGGGCGCACUACCGGCC